rnacentral:lncRNA from 1 species
AGAGCGACCGGCAGCACUCGGCCGCGACCCCAGGAUGUCGCUCCUCCACCCCAACCCCCAGUUCUCACGGCUCGGAACCCCCAAAGGGUAGUAAAAAGGCAGAGACUGCUGGCAGGAGCUGCUAUGGCACCGUGAGCUGCAGCUGAUCUCCGGGGUGAGUGCAAAGGUUACCAUCACUACAGCUGUUCCACCCAGAGUCACAGAGCCUCACUCUAGGACACAAGCUAGCCUGGACUGCACGAGGACCCUCCAGCAAGAUGAAUGGUGCUUCUGAAAAUUUUUUCCCCAUUGAGGUUGUAUGGCUGAAAUUCACUUUUCUCACCAUUGACCUAUUGGACCUUGAUAACAUAGAAUUAAAAGCGAUUAAUCUGGAAA